rnacentral:rRNA from 1 species
UACGGAGGGUGCGAGCGUUGUCCGGAAUCACUGGGCGUAAAGGGCGCGUAGGCGGCCUGAUAAGUAGGGGGUGAAAUCCUGCGGCUUAACCACAGGGCUGCCUCCGAGACUGUCGGGCUCGAGCACAGUAGAGGCAGGUGGAAUUCCCGGUGUAGCGGUGGAAUGCGUAGAGAUCGGGAGGAACACCGAUGGCGAAGGCAGCCUCCUGGGCCAGCACUGACGCUCAUGCACGAAGGCGUGGGGAGCAAACAGG